UGAGGAAUAUUGGUCAAUGGACGAGAGUCUGAACCAGCCAAGUAGCGUGCAGGAUGACGGCCCUAUGGGUUGUAAACUGCUUUUGUUUGGGAAUAAUCGACAUUACGUGUAAUGUUUUGCAUGUACCAUUCGAAUAAGGACCGGCUAAUUCCGUGCCAGCAGCCGCGGUAAUACGGAAGGUCCAGGCGUUAUCCGGAUUUAUUGGGUUUAAAGGGAGUGUAGGCGGUUGGUUAAGCGUGUUGUGAAAUGUAGAUGCUCAACAUCUGACUUGCAGCGCGAACUGGCUGACUUGAGUACACACAACGUAGGCGGAAUUCAUGGUGUAGCGGUGAAAUGCUUAGAUAUCAUGACGAACGCCGAUUGCGAAGGCAGCUUACGGGAGCGCAACUGACGCUAAAGCUCGAAGGUGCGGGUAUCGAACAGG
rnacentral:rRNA from 1 species